rnacentral:tRNA from 1 species
UUCAGUGGUAGAACACCACCUUGCCAAGGUGGGGGUCGCGGGUUCGAAUCCCGUCGUUCGCU